rnacentral:rRNA from 1 species
AUUGAACGCUGGCGGAAUGCCUAACACAUGCAAGUCGAGCGGGGUGUAGCAAUACACCUAGCGGCGGACGGGUGAGGAAUACAUAGGAAUCUACCUUUAAGUGGGGAUAGCCCGGGAAACCCGGAUUAAUACCGCAUGAUCUCGCAAGAGCAAAGCGGGGGACCGUAAGGCCUCGCGCUGAAAGAUGAGCCUAUGUCGGAUUAGCUAGUUGGCGGGGUAAAGGCCCACCAAGGCGACGAUCCGUAGCUGGUCUGAGAGGACGAUCAGCCACACCGGAACUGAGACACGGUCCGGACUCCUACGGGAGGCAGCAGUGGGGAAUAUUGGACAAUGGCGCAAGCCUGAUCCAGCAAUUCCGCGUGUGUGAAGAAGGCC